rnacentral:rRNA from 1 species
AUUGAACGCUGGCGGCAGGCCUAACACAUGCAAGUCGAGCGGAUGAAGGGAGCUUGCUCCUGGAUUCAGCGGCGGACGGGUGAGUAAUGCCUAGGAAUCUGCCUGGUAGUGGGGGAUAACGUCCGGAAACGGGCGCUAAUACCGCAUACGUCCUGAGGGAGAAAGUGGGGGAUCUUCGGACCUCACGCUAUCAUAUGAGCCUAGGUCGGAUUAGCUAGUUGGUGGGGUAAAGGCCUACCAAGGCGACGAUCCGUAACUGGUCUGAGAGGAUGAUCAGUCACACUGGAACUGAGACACGGUCCAGACUCCUACGGGAGGCAGCAGUGGGGAAUAUUGGACAGUGGGCGAAAGCCUGAUCCAGCCAUGCCGCGUGUGUGAAGAAGGUCUUCGGAUUGUAAAGCACUUUAAGUUGGGAGGAAGGGCAGUAAGUUAAUACCUUGCUGUUUUGACGUUACCAACAGAAUAAGCACCGGCUAACUUCGUG